rnacentral:rRNA from 1 species
UGGGGAAUAUUGCGCAAUGGGGGAAACCCUGACGCAGCGACGCCGCGUGAGCGAAGAAGGCCUUCGGGUUGUAAAGCUCUGUUGUAUGGGAAGAAGUUCCUUUUCAGAAAUAUGGGGAAGGGAUGACGGUACCAUACGAGGAAGCCCCGGCUAACUACGUGCCAGCAGCCGCGGUAAGACGUAGGGGGCGAGCGUUGUCCGGAAUUACUGGGCGUAAAGAGCGUGUAGGCGGGUAGACAAGUCAGAUGUGAAAGACCGCAGCUUAACUGCGGGGUUGCAUCUGAAACUGACUAUCUUGAGGGCAGGAGAGGACAGUGGAAUUCCUGGUGUAGCGGUGAAAUGCGUAGAAAUCAGGAGGAAUACCAGUGGCGAAGGCGACUGUCUGGACUGACCCUGACGCUGAGGCGCGAAAGCGUGGGGAGCAAACA